CUCUGUGACUCCUACGGGAGGCAGCAGUGGGAAUAUUGGACAAUGGACCAAAAGUCUGAUCCAGCAAUUCUGUGUGCACGAUGAAGGUUUUCGGAUCGUAAAGUGCUUUCAGUAGGGAAGAAAAAAUGACGGUACCUACAGAAGAAGCGACGGCUAAAUACGUGCCAGCAGCCGCGGUAAUACGUAUGUCGCAAGCGUUAUCCGGAAUUAUUGGGCGUAAAGCGCGUCUAGGCGGCCUUUUAAGUCUGAUGUGAAAAUGCGGGGCUCAACUCCGUAUUGCGUUGGAAACUGGAAGGCUAGAGUAUCAGAGAGGUGGGCGGAACUACAAGUGUAGAGGUGAAAUUCGUAGAUAUUUGUAGGAAUGCCGAUUGGGAAGCCAGCUCACUGGAUGAAUACUGACGCUGAAGCGCGAAAGCGUGGGGAGCAAACGGGAUUAGAUACCCUGGUAG
rnacentral:rRNA from 1 species